CUCUAGCAAGACUGCCGGUGACAAACCGGAGGAAGGUGGGGAUGACGUCAAAUCAUCAUGCCCCUUAUGACCUGGGCUACACACGUGCUACAAUGGGAAGUACAACGAGUUGCGAAGUCGCGAGGCUAAGCUAAUCUCUUAAAGCUUCUCUCAGUUCGGAUUGCAGGCUGCAACUCGCCUGCAUGAAGCCGGAAUCGCUAGUAAUCGCGGAUCAGCACGCC
rnacentral:rRNA from 1 species